GCGGGCCGAGGCCGCGGGCUUAAGUGGCAGCCGGUUUGUGGGCGGCCCGAUCCGGGGGACUGGAUGCAGCGGCGCCCUACAGAGCCGCAGCGCGGGCUGCCCGCGGCCGGCCGUCCUCCCUCGGCCUCCGAGGCGGGAGCGAGCCGGGAGGGCGAGAGCGCGAGGCACCGCGGCCGGGAAGGGAGUUCAGAGAAGCACGGUCUGUCAAACCGCGUGUUUUCAGAGUUUUAACGCUUACGUUUUAAACGGUUUGAUACAGUGGCUGCAGCCUAACAGUGUCGCCGAAGGGUGUGAAGAUGACUUUCCCUGGGAAGCUCGGGCGGACCCCGCCCUGCGGAGCGAGUCCCGCCCCGUCCGGUGGGGGCGCCGCGGGCGGCCUGGCCGCCUGUCCUGACCGGCGACGGUAGAGCCAGGAGCGCGGCGACGGACCAGAGACUUCACCUACUGUAGGGUUCAUCGUGAGGAUCGUGGUCGACAGUGAAGCAGAGCAGCGCAGCUAUAGAAAAAGCAGCGUGACUUUUCAUCUUAAAUUAAACAAACCUGGCGUUUAUUUCAUUUUAAAAUGCAAUUUAUUUUAUACACAAACAGUGCAUAAAGCUUUGUGUGUCUUUAUGGGUUUCCAGCCUCAGGACCGCAGACUCGCUAAUGCAGGAACCCACCGGCGGGCGCCCAGGGCUGAGGCAGAAGUCACUCAUCUCGGUUCUCUGUACAAUGGCCACGUAUUCUUUGUUUUUGAUACACACAUCCCAUUAGGCUUCACAACUGUUCAACAAAACCAGCCUCCUCAACACAAAACCUUGCAACAAAGAUCCAGGGACAGCCUCUUGGUUACUCGUAUGGCGAAUUAAAGAGACAAAAGAUGUU